rnacentral:rRNA from 1 species
AUGAAGGUGUUUGUGGCCACGUUCGUAUGGUGGGCGGCAACGACAACACUAAGCUUCGUGGAGACGGCGUACGCGUAUGAAGUCGAAAUCACGACCGGGUUCCAUGCCGGCGUCCACAUGAUGGCGGGGCAUUCGGCGGGCUUAUGGGCACACUUGCGCGGGCCUUCUCGCCUAUCGAUGGACGGUUCCGGUUCCACCUGGAUGCAGCUGCCGCGGAAGGAGGCACUGCGGGGGCAGGAGGUGCUCAACGCCGCGAGCGACCCCUCCGACGUCGUCAAGUCGGCCAAGAAAUUCCACGCAUGCGUCAAAACCCUGAUCCUCUGCAGCGGGGAGGUCGACCACCUCACGAACGUCAUCAACACGCUCUCGAUCGCUCGCCGGCCCGGGUGUCGACCUGGACAUCUUCUUGAAGGUGCUCCAGCUCGAUGUGGCCAUGACAUGGACGUGGACGGUGCUGUUGUGCCCCCCUGGUGCGCGCAUUACGUGGACUAG